rnacentral:rRNA from 1 species
UUAAGCGACUAAGCGUACACGGUGGAUGCCCUGGCAGUCAGAGGCGAUGAAGGACGUGCUAAUCUGCGAUAAGCGUCGGUAAGGUGAUAUGAACCGUUAUAACCGGCGAUUUCCGAAUGGGGAAACCCAGUGUGAUUCGUCACACUAUCAUUAACUGAAUCCAUAGGUUAAUGAGGCGAACCGGGGGAACUGAAACAUCUAAGUACCCCGAGGAAAAGAAAUCAACCGAGAUUCCCCCAGUAGCGGCGAGCGAACGGGGAGGAGCCCAGAGCCUGAAUCAGUGUGUGUGUUAGUGGAAGCGUCUGGAAAGGCGCGCGAUACAGGGUGACAGCCCCGUACACAAAAAUGCACAUGCUGUGAGCUCGAUGAGUAGGGCGGGACACGUGGUAUCCUGUCUGAAUAUGGGGGGACCAUCCUCCAAGGCUAAAUACUCCUGACUGACCGAUAGUGAACCAGUACCGUGAGGGAAAGGCGAAAAGAACCCCGGCGAGGGGAGUGAAAAAGAACCUGAAACCGUGUACGUACAAGCAGUGGGAGCCUCUUUUAUGGGGUGACUGCGUACCUUUUGUAUAAUGGGUCAGCGACUUAUAUUCUGUAGCAAGGUUAACCGAAUAGGGGAGCCGAAGGGAAACCGAGUCUUAACUGGGCGUUAAGUUGCAGGGUAUAGACCCGAAACCCGGUGAUCUAGCCAUGGGCAGGUUGAAGGUUGGGUAACACUAACUGGAGGACCGAACCGACUAAUGUUGAAAAAUUAGCGGAUGACUUGUGGCUGGGGGUGAAAGGCCAAUCAAACCGGGAGAUAGCUGGUUCUCCCCGAAAGCUAUUUAGGUAGCGCCUCGUGAAUUCAUCUCCGGGGGUAGAGCACUGUUUCGGCAAGGGGGUCAUCCCGACUUACCAACCCGAUGCAAACUGCGAAUACCGGAGAAUGUUAUCACGGGAGACACACGGCGGGUGCUAACGUCCGUCGUGAAGAGGGAAACAACCCAGACCGCCAGCUAAGGUCCCAAAGUCAUGGUUAAGUGGGAAACGAUGUGGGAAGGCCCAGACAGCCAGGAUGUUGGCUUAGAAGCAGCCAUCAUUUAAAGAAAGCGUAAUAGCUCACUGGUCGAGUCGGCCUGCGCGGAAGAUGUAACGGGGCUAAACCAUGCACCGAAGCUGCGGCAGCGACACUGUGUGUUGUUGGGUAGGGGAGCGUUCUGUAAGCCUGUGAAGGUGUGCUGUGAGGCAUGCUGGAGGUAUCAGAAGUGCGAAUGCUGACAUAAGUAACGAUAAAGCGGGUGAAAAGCCCGCUCGCCGGAAGACCAAGGGUUCCUGUCCAACGUUAAUCGGGGCAGGGUGAGUCGACCCCUAAGGCGAGGCCGAAAGGCGUAGUCGAUGGGAAACAGGUUAAUAUUCCUGUACUUGGUGUUACUGCGAAGGGGGGACGGAGAAGGCUAUGUUGGCCGGGCGACGGUUGUCCCGGUUUAAGCGUGUAGGCUGGUUUUCCAGGCAAAUCCGGAAAAUCAAGGCUGAGGCGUGAUGACGAGGCACUACGGUGCUGAAGCAACAAAUGCCCUGCUUCCAGGAAAAGCCUCUAAGCAUCAGGUAACAUCAAAUCGUACCCCAAACCGACACAGGUGGUCAGGUAGAGAAUACCAAGGCGCUUGAGAGAACUCGGGUGAAGGAACUAGGCAAAAUGGUGCCGUAACUUCGGGAGAAGGCACGCUGAUAUGUAGGUGAAGUCCCUCGCGGAUGGAGCUGAAAUCAGUCGAAGAUACCAGCUGGCUGCAACUGUUUAUUAAAACACAGCACUGUGCAAACACGAAAGUGGACGUAUACGGUGUGACGCCUGCCCGGUGCCGGAAGGUUAAUUGAUGGGGUCAGCGCAAGCGAAGCUCUUGAUCGAAGCCCCGGUAAACGGCGGCCGUAACUAUAACGGUCCUAAGGUAGCGAAAUUCCUUGUCGGGUAAGUUCCGACCUGCACGAAUGGCGUAAUGAUGGCCAGGCUGUCUCCACCCGAGACUCAGUGAAAUUGAACUCGCUGUGAAGAUGCAGUGUACCCGCGGCAAGACGGAAAGACCCCGUGAACCUUUACUAUAGCUUGACACUGAACAUUGAGCCUUGAUGUGUAGGAUAGGUGGGAGGCUUUGAAGUGUGGACGCCAGUCUGCAUGGAGCCGACCUUGAAAUACCACCCUUUAAUGUUUGAUGUUCUAACGUGGACCCGUGAUCCGGGUUGCGGACAGUGUCUGGUGGGUAGUUUGACUGGGGCGGUCUCCUCCUAAAGAGUAACGGAGGAGCACGAAGGUUGGCUAAUCCUGGUCGGACAUCAGGAGGUUAGUGCAAUGGCAUAAGCCAGCUUGACUGCGAGCGUGACGGCGCGAGCAGGUGCGAAAGCAGGUCAUAGUGAUCCGGUGGUUCUGAAUGGAAGGGCCAUCGCUCAACGGAUAAAAGGUACUCCGGGGAUAACAGGCUGAUACCGCCCAAGAGUUCAUAUCGACGGCGGUGUUUGGCACCUCGAUGUCGGCUCAUCACAUCCUGGGGCUGAAGUAGGUCCCAAGGGUAUGGCUGUUCGCCAUUUAAAGUGGUACGCGAGCUGGGUUUAGAACGUCGUGAGACAGUUCGGUCCCUAUCUGCCGUGGGCGCUGGAGAACUGAGGGGGGCUGCUCCUAGUACGAGAGGACCGGAGUGGACGCAUCACUGGUGUUCGGGUUGUCAUGCCAAUGGCACUGCCCGGUAGCUAAAUGCGGAAGAGAUAAGUGCUGAAAGCAUCUAAGCACGAAACUUGCCCCGAGAUGAGUUCUCCCUGACCCUUUAAGGGUCCUGAAGGAACGUUGAAGACGACGACGUUGAUAGGCCGGGUGUGUAAGCGCAGCGAUGCGUUGAGCUAACCGGUACUAAUGAACCGUGAGGCUUAACCU